rnacentral:rRNA from 1 species
UACGUAGGGGGGCAAGCGUUUGUCCGGAAUUAUUGGGCGUAAAGAGCUCGUAGGCGGUUUGUCGCGUCUGCUGUGAAAACUCGGGGCUUAACCCCGGGCCUGCAGUGGGUACGGGCAGACUAGAGUGUGGUAGGGGGAGAUCGAAUUCCUGGUGUAGCGGUGGAAUGCGCAGAUAUCAGGAGGAACACCGGUGGCGAAGGCGGAUCUCUGGGCCAUAACUGACGCUGAGGAGCGAAAGCAUGGGGGAGCGAACAGG